GCUCAGAUUGAACGCUGGCGGCAGGCCUAACACAUGCAAGUCGAGCGGUAGCACAAGAGAGCUUGCUCUCUGGGUGACGAGCGGCGGACGGGUGAGUAAUGUCUGGGAAACUGCCUGAUGGCGGGGGAUAACUAGUGGAAACGGUAGCUAAUACCGCAUAACGUCGCAAGACCAAAGUGGGGGACCUUCGGGCCUCACGCCAUCAGAUGUGCCCAGGUGGGAUUAGCUGGUAGGUGGGGUAACGGCUCACCUAGGCGACGAUCCCUAGCUGGUCUGAGAGGAUGACCAGCCACACUGGAACUGAGACACGGUCCAGACUCCUACGGGAGGCAGCAGUGGGGAAUAUUGCA
rnacentral:rRNA from 1 species